GACAGAGGAGCCAAGCGUUGUCCGGAUUGACUGGGCGUAAAGCGCACGCAGGCGGCUGUGCACGUGGGGUGUGAAAGCGCUCGGCUUAACUGAGCGAGGCCACCUCAUACGGCACGGCUCGAGCCCGUGAGAGGUCCACGGAAUUGCCGGUGUAGUGGUGAAAUGCGUAGAUAUCUGGAGGAACACCGGUGGCGAAGGCGGCAUCCUGGACCAAUAUUGACGCUGAGGAGCGAAAGCCAGGGGAGCAAACGGG
rnacentral:rRNA from 1 species